CAUCAAAUCUAGCAAUGGCGGCUUCCUUUGUAUUUCUCAGAGAUGUGAAACCCUACAAGAUAACAUGGCAACCUGAAGUGAGGGUCCUUCAUACCUGAAAAUCAUACACAGGAAGAUUUGGUGAGACGUUGGACAUGGUGUUGGCUGAUAUGCAAAGUGAACGAUUCUUGCUUCAGUGAGAAAGAAACAUGUUAAUCGCUUUGAAAAGCUGAUAACCCGAGGAGAAUACAGAAGCAUUGAAAACUUUGGAUGAAGUUGUGAAAGUGGACAACAUUUCUGCCAAUCUAUUGAAACGUGAAAAUUUCAAGGCCGGUGGAUCAAGGGCGAGCCCGAGGAAGAAGACGCAGACGAUUAGAAGGCAGAUGCUCAAAACACAUCAAAUCGAAUCGAAU